rnacentral:rRNA from 1 species
CGUAGGGUGCAAGCGUUAAUCGGAAUUACUGGGCGUAAAGCGUGCGCAGGCGGUUUUGUAAGUCUGAUGUGAAAAUCCCCCGGGGCUCAACCUGGGGAAUUGCAUUGGAGACUGCAAGGCUAGAAUCUGGGCAGAGGGGGGGUAGAAUUCCACGUGUAGCAGUGAAAUGCGUAGAUAUGUGGAGGAACGCCGAUGGCGAAGGCAGCCCCCUGGGUCAAGAUUGACGCUCAUGCACGAAAGCGUGGGGGAGCAAACAGGAUUAGAUACCCUGGUAGUCCACGCCCUAAACGAUGUCUACUAGUUGUCGGGUCUUAAUUGACUUGGUAACGCAGCUAACGCGUGAAGUAGACCGCCUGGGGAGUACGGUCGCAAGAUUA